UACGGGGGGUGCGAGCGUUGUCCGGAAUCACUGGGCGUAAAGGGCGCGUAGGUGGCGACCCAAGUCGAUGGUGAAAGCUCGUCGCUCAACGACGAGUCGGCCACCGAUACUGGGUUGCUCGAGCACUGUAGAGGCAGAUGGAAUUCCGGGUGUAGAGGUGAAAUUCGUAGAUAUUCGGAAGAACACCAGUGGCGAAGGCGACUGACUGGACAAGUAUUGACGCUGAGGUGCGAAAGCGUGGGGAGCAAACAGG
rnacentral:rRNA from 1 species